AUGUCUCCUUUAUUAUGAUGGUUCGUUUGUUUUAUUCUGACUCCUCAUAGUUUUCUUCUUGAUGGUUUAAAGCCAGGAGAAGAAAGAUAGGCUUCCUUGCAAAGCUGGGUAAUUUUCAGUUUACAUUUCUCUGUCACUUUGCCAUCAAGAAAUGCACCUUCCUUUGGCACAGUACUCUAUAGAAUUGUUGGUUACGUGCUAAUACUAAAUGUUGAAUUUGGUUUUCACAGAUAAAACCAUCCUGUAAUAUGGAAAUAAUUCAGAACUGCUGAAUUUAAGUGAACACUUCUAAGAAUUUCCAAAACCUUUUGCUUAAGUUUCACUGUGAAAAAUACUGUCAAACUUUUGUCUUAAAGGACAACUCUCCUCCUUUUUAAAUAACUACUUCAGUAUCACAUGGUGGUCCAUGUGGUUUUUGUGGUCAUUAAGCAAUAGAACAAUUACAUUUCACUUGGAAAAAUGUUUUCUGAGGUAAAUUUAGAUUCAGUAUAUGUUUUCCUAUUUCUUUUCUUCCUUUUUACAGCUCUUACAAUUGCUUUUCCUUUAUUUAAGCUACUUGAAAUUUUGUGGUAAACCACAUUUUGGGAUCAGAAUUUCUUUGAUGACUUUCUUAUUUGUAGGAUAACAUCACUAUAAAUUAAAAAAAAACCCAAAAUAAUUGUAUGCAUAUUCCUAAAACCAGCCUGUGAAAAUUUAUUCUAAGUGUAAACCAUUCAUAGAUACUCAGAAAUUACAUAUAAACUUUGUUUCUUGUUGGAAAAGUUUUGAAGAAUAGAAGCAUGAUCUUUGUGAAGCAGCAACAGGAUUCCUUUAAUAUAUCAACACAUCACAUGAUAUCAAGUUACUUUUAUCAGAUUUUCUUCUGUUUCAAAGUUGCUAGAAACUGAAAAACUAGACAGCCAGCUGGCAGGAGGAAGACAUGAUCACCAGCAGACAGAAAUAAAUGUGGCUAUGACAACAGAAACAGGAAGUUAAAAGAUAAUUUAAAUCUACUCAAAGCAACUUGAGAAGUUGAUGGGAAAGAUCUUUACAGUGAGAGGUGUUACUUCUGCAAAAACUGUUAGUAAUAAAUCACCUGAUCAAUGUCUUAUUCUUCUCUCCUUUUGAAUCCCAUUUGCUUAUCUUAUUAUCUGGAUGUAUUAUUGGUCAUUUAAUUUUUAGACUUGAUUUGAUAAUAAUAUAAAAUUAAGAAAAGCC
rnacentral:lncRNA from 1 species